CAGCCGCCACGGUAAUACGUAGGGUGCGAGCGUUAAUCGGAAUUACUGGGCGUAAAGCGUGCGCAGGCGGUUUUGUAAGACAGGCGUGAAAUCCCCGGGCUCAACCUGGGAAUGGCGCUUGUGACUGCAAAGCUAGAGUGCGGCAGAGGGGGAUGGAGUUCCGCGUGUAGCAGUGAAAUGCGUAGAUAUGCGGAGGAACACCGAUGGCGAAGGCGAUCCCCUGGGCCUGCACUGACGCUCAUGCACGAAAGCGUGGGGAGCAAACAGGAUUAGAGACCCGUGUAGUCCCUGUCUCUUAUAC
rnacentral:rRNA from 1 species